GAUGAACGCUGGCGGCGUGCCUAAUACAUGCAAGUCGAGCGAACAGACGAGGAGCUUGCUCCUCUGACGUUAGCGGCGGACGGGUGAGUAACACGUGGAUAACCUACCUAUAAGACUGGGAUAACUUCGGGAAACCGGAGAUAAUACCGGAUAAUAUAUUGAAGCGCAUGGUUCAAUAGUGAAACACGGUUUUGCUGUCACUUAUCGUUUGAUCCGGGCCGUAGUGGCGUGUUGGUAAGGUAACGGCUUACCAAGGCGACGAUGGGUUGCCGACCUGGGCGGGGGAAGGCCGACACUGGGGGUGGAACGCCGUCCAGACUCCUAGGGGAGGCACCGGUUGGGAAUGUUCGCAGAUGGGCGGAAGACUGCCGGAGCGACGCCGGGCGGAUGAUGAAGGGCUUCGGGUCGUAAGACUCUGUUAUUGGGGAAGAACAAAUGUGUAAGUAACUAUGCACGUCUUGACGGUACCUAGACAGAAAGCCACGGCUAACUACGUG
rnacentral:rRNA from 1 species